UACGUAGGGAGCAAGCGUUGUCCGGAAUCAUUGUGCGUAAAGCGCGCGUAGGUGGCCCCGUAAGUCCGCUGUGAAAGUCAAAGGCUCAACCUUUGAAAGCCGGUGGAUACUGUGGGACUAGAGUACGGAAGAGGCGAGUGGAAUUCCUGGUGUAGCGGUGGAAUGCGCAGAUAUCAGGAGGAACACCAAUAGCGAAGGCAGCUCGCUGGGACGUUACUGACGCUGAGACGCGAAAGCGUGGGGAGCAAACAGG
rnacentral:rRNA from 1 species